AUUGAACGCUGGCGGCAUGCCUUACACAUGCAAGUCGAACGGUAACAGGUUAAGCUGACGAGUGGCGAACGGGUGAGUAAUGUAUCGGAACGUGCCCAGUCGUGGGGGAUAACUACUCGAAAGAGUGGCUAAUACCGCAUACGACCUGAGGGUGAAAGCGGGGGACCGUAAGGCCUCGCGCGAUUGGAGCGGCCGAUAUCAGAUUAGCUAGUUGGUGGGGUAAAAGCCCACCAAGGCGACGAUCUGUAGCUGGUCUGGGAGGACGACCAGCCACACUGGGACUGAGACACGGCCCAGACUCCUACGGGAGGCAGCAGUGGGGAAUUUUGGACAAUGGACGCAAGUCUGAUCCAGCCAUGCCGCGUGCGGGAAGAAGGCCUUCGGGUUGUAAACCGCUUUUGUCAGGGAAGAAACGAGUUUCUCUAAUACAGAGACUUAAUGACGGUACCUGAAGAAUAAGCACCGGCUAACUACGUGCCAGCAGCCGCCGUAAGAC
rnacentral:rRNA from 1 species